rnacentral:rRNA from 1 species
GGACGAACGUUGGCGGCGUGCUUAAUACAUGCAAGUCAACUGAAGCAGUGGUAGCACUAUCGCUGUGGAGGUGGCGCACGGGUGAGUAACACGUAGGUAAUCUGCCUUCAGGUCUGGCAUAACUCCGGGAAACCGGGGCUAAUAGCAGAUGAUGCAGCGGCUCGACAUCGAGACAGUUGUUAAAGCUAUGGCGCCUGAAGAUGAGCCUGCGUCUGAUUAGCUAGUUGGCGGGGUAACGGCCCACCAAGGCAACGAUCAGUAGCUGGUCUGAGAGGAUGAUCAGCCACACUGGAACUGAGACACGGUCCAGACUCCUACGGGAGGCAGCAGUAAGGAAUAUUGCUCAAUGGGAGAAAUCCUGAAGCAGCAACGCCGCGUGAGGGACGAAGGGCUUUUGCUUGUAAACCUCUGUAGUGAGAGAAAAAAAUCCCAAUCGUUGGGACAUGAUGGUAUCUCAAAAGUAAGCCCCGGCUAACUACGUG